CGAACGCUGGCGGCGUGCUUAACACAUGCAAGUCGAACGGAAAGGCCCUGCUUUUGUGGGGUGCUCGAGUGGCGAACGGGUGAGUAACACGUGAGUAACCUGCCCUUGACUUUGGGAUAACUUCAGGAAACUGGGGCUAAUACCGGAUAGGAGCUCCUGCUGCAUGGUGGGGGUUGGAAAGUUUCGGCGGUUGGGGAUGGACUCGCGGCUUAUCAGCUUGUUGGUGGGGUAGUGGCUUACCAAGGCUUUGACGGGUAGCCGGCCUGAGAGGGCGACCGGCCACAUUGGGACUGAGAUACGGCCCAGACUCCUACGGGAGGCAGCAGUGGGGAAUAUUGCACAAUGGGCGGAAGCCUGAUGCAGCAACGCCGCGUGCGGGAUGACGGCCUUCGGGUUGUAAACCGCUUUCGCCUGUGACGAAGCGUGAGUGACGGUAAUGGGUAAAGAAGCACCGGCUAACUACGUGCCAGCAGCCGCGGUGAUACGUAGGGUGCGAGCGUUGUCCGGAUUUAUUGGGCGUAAGGGGCUCGUAGGUGGUUGAUCGCGUCGGAAGUGUAAUCUUGGGGCUCAACCCUGAGCGUGCUUUCGAUACGGGUUGACUUGAGGAAGGUAGGGGAGAAUGGAAUUCCUGGUGGAGCGGUGGAAUGCGCAGAUAUCAGGAGGAACACCAGUGGCGAAGGCGGUUCUCUGGGCCUUUCCUGACGCUGAGGAGCGAAAGCGUGGGGAGCGAACAGGCUUAGAUACCCUGGUAGUCCACGCUGUAAACGGUGGGUACUAGGUGUGGGGUCCAUUCCACGGGUUCCGUGCCGUAGCUAACGCUUUAAGUACCCCGCCUGGGGAGUACGGCCGCAAGGCUAAAACUCAAAGGAAUUGACGGGGCCCCGCACAAGCGGCGGAGCAUGCGGAUUAAUUCGAUGCAACGCGUGGAACCUUACCUGGGUUUGACAUGGAUCGGGAGUGCUCAGAGAUGGGUGUGCCUCUUUUGGGGUCGGUUCACAGGUGGUGCAUGGCUGUCGUCAGCUCGUGUCGUGAGAUGUUGGGUUAAGUCCCGCAACGAGCGCAACCCUUGUUCACUGUUGCCAGCACGUUAUGGUGGGGACUCAGUGGAGACCGCCGGGGUCAACUCGGAGGAAGGUGGGGAUGACGUCAAGUCAUCAUGCCCCUUAUGUCCAGGGCUUCACGCAUGCUACAAUGGCUGGUACAGAGAGUGGCGAGCCUGUGAGGGUGAGCGAAUCUCGGAAAGCCGGUCUCAGUUCGGAUUGGGGUCUGCAACUCGACCUCAUGAAGUCGGAGUCGCUAGUAAUCGCAGAUCAGCAACGCUGCGGUGAAUACGUUCCCGGGGCUUGUACACACCGCCCGUCAAGUCAUGAAAGUUGGUAACACCCGAAGCCGAUGGCCUAACCGUUGUGGGGGAGCCGUCGAAGGUGG
rnacentral:rRNA from 1 species